rnacentral:rRNA from 1 species
UACGGAGGGUGCGAGCGUUGUCCGGAAUCAUUGGGCGUAAAGGGUGCGCAGGCGGCCAAGUGUGUGAGGCGUGAAAGCCUGGGGCUUAACUCCAGAAUUGCACCUCAAACUACAUGGCUAGAGCAUUGGAGAGGGUAGCAGAAUUCACGGUGUAGCAGUGAAAUGCGUAGAUAUCGUGAGGAAUACCAGAGGCGAAGGCGGCUACCUGGACAGUAGCUGACGCUCAGGCACGAAAGCGUGGGGAGCAAAAGGG